AACAUCCACUCAAGGGGCAGCGGCAGUCCAAAAAGCAAACAGAAUGUUGGGAAUCAUUAAGAAAGGUAAUAGAUAAUAAGACAGAAAAUAUUAUAUUGCCUCUAUAUAAAUCUAUGAUACGCUCACAUCUUGAAUACUGCAUGCAGAUGUGGUUGCCCCAUCUC